GAUCCUGGCUCAGGAUGAACGCUAGCUACAGGCUUAACACAUGCAAGUCGAGGGGCAGCAUAUUUCUAGCAAUAGAGAUGAUGGCGACCGGCGCACGGGUGAGUAACACGUAUCCAACCUGCCUUAUACCCGGGGAUAGCCUUUCGAAAGAAAGAUUAAUACCCGAUGUUAUAGUCUAACCGCAUGAUUUGACUAUAAAAGAUUUUCGGUAUAAGAUGGGGAUGCGUUCCAUUAGAUUG
rnacentral:rRNA from 1 species